GCUCAGAACGAACGCUGGCGGCAGGCCUAACACAUGCAAGUCGAGCGCUUCACUUCGGUGAGGAGCGGCGGACGGGUUAGUAACGCGUGGGAAUAUACCCUUUUCUAUGGAAUAGCCUCGGGAAACUGAGAGUAAUACCAUAUACGCCCUUCGGGGGAAAGAUUUAUCGGUGAAGGAUUAGCCCGCGUAAGAUUAGAUAGUUGGUGGGGUAAUGGCCUACCAAGUCUACGAUCUUUAGCUGGUUUGAGAGGAUGAUCAGCAACACUGGGACUGAGACACGGCCCAGACUCCUACGGGAGGCAGCAGUGGGGAAUAUUGGGCAAUGGGCGAAAGCCUGAUGCAGCAACGCCGCGUGAGCGAUGAAGGCCUUUGGGUCGUAAAGCUCUGUCCUUGGGGAAGAAACAAAUGACGGUACCCUUGGAGGAAGCCCCGGCUAACUACGUGCCAGCAGCCGCGGUAAU
rnacentral:rRNA from 1 species